CCUUCAUACCUUUCCCACAUCCGAACAGAUACAACUUGCAGUGGACGUGAUGUAAAAGCUAGUUCAAACCGAGCGUAAUCCAGCCCUAAUUUUGUAAGGCAGAAAUAAAUGAAAAGCUGAGCUUGAAGUGGUCGGUGGGUGUAAAACUCUAAAUGAAUACUGAUGUUGUUUCAGCUUCGACAUUCAACAAUGCUUUUUUAGUCGCACUUCAGUCAGUGAUUAAACCCCUAAAAAGACAUUUUUGUGUAUUCCAGGAAGCGCUGGUGAAAAGACAUCUUGUGUGUUGAGAAGGUUGUAACACCCGCAUUAUCAGCACAUUAAAUGACCGUUAUCUUUGCACAUCAUUCAUGUGUAAGAGCCAGUAGGGACGUCCUCCACCUUCCAGUUGGCCAGAAAGUUGUCAACCUCUCAAUCACUGAUUAACAAAAGUAACCCUGAUAACAAAAGUGACGUCUUGCAGUUGUGCCAAUAAGUGCAUGCAAAGUCUGUAGUGGAGUUGUCACCAUGGAAACAUAGGAAAUGGAGCUUUGUAACAUAAAGGGUGUAGUUUAACCCAAAUAAAUCAAUGGUUUCUAAAUCUAAACAAUUAUUUUUAGACCUAAAUGUGAUCAAAUAGGAACUCACAACUAAACACUAGGGGCCUAUUUCACGAAGCAGGUUUUACAAACUCUGAGUUUAAUCCUCAACUCUGAGUUGAUCUACUCUGAGAGAGGAAACUCUGAAUUUUCGGUUUCACAACGGUUGAUUUGAGUUGGUUUAAUCAACUCGGAGUAGUUUCACUCUGAGUUAAGCGCGUGCACUGCAACUCUGAAAGACAGCAUCAAUGGAGCCCCGAUUCGAUGAGUCACCAUGGCAACGGGGAAGCGAAAGGCUGCGUUUUUGAACUGGAAAUUUUUAACGCGCUCAUAUGGCGAGUUUGAACAUGUUUUUAGAAAGAAGUGCAAAACCGCUGCAGCUGCAAAAGAGAGGGAGACGGCGUGGAGAACAUUGCUGCCCAGGUCAAUGCGUAAGUUUAAAUGUAGUCCUUUGUAAUCGUAAUAAUAUUACAGUGAAAAACUGUCUGAAUGGUAGAAUAUUGAGUUAUUUCAUUUAGGGGAAAUCCCGCGGGGGAGAAGCGCACGUGGCAGCAGCUUAAGAUGAAAUAUAAAAACAUUGUUCAAACAGGUCAGACCUCGGCAUAUUUCAUGGAGGUCCUUCAUGUUGAUCAUGUUUUACAUUGUGAAGUGCUCAAAAUAUUAAGUGGCUGUUUGACUGUGCAGUUGUUUUAUCCACACAUAGCCUAAAUGUCUGCAUCCAUAUCAUGUCCUGUUAAAUAAUUGAGCCCAUUUAAACUAACACAGACUUCUGCUCAGCCAACAGAAAGAAAGCAGAUGCCUGUAAAACGGGUGCGGCGGCGGCAGCGGCAGUGGUGACGGCGGAGACGGGCCAAAUAUUCGGAUUCGUUCGUGUGGUUCGUGCGGCGGCGCGGCAGUGGCGGCGGAGACUGCCCGAAUAGUUGGAUCCAUUUGUCUGCUCUCCCGGGUCCACAUUUUGCCCUCGUUUAGUCUUUAGUUAAACUGAAGAAUUCCCAAUCACCGGUCUUCAGCAUCUUGUCUUGUGUUUAUGCAACGAAGUGAAGCGUGGCUUCAGAGUCAGCAGCCACCCGGCCAUUCGGGUGGUGUUUACAAACAUGAAUGGAGGAGCCGAAAUGAGCCGAAGAACACGGCGGGAUGAGCCGAAAUGGGCCGAAGGCGCAGGGAAGAGACGAGCUCAGAAUAUUUUCCUCUGGGGGGAGGAGGGGGUGAUCACAUCGACAUAUGUGUAUAUGUUAUAGACAUAUGUGUAUAUGUUUAUGGAAUCACAGGAUGAGAUGAACCAAUGUGGGCCGAAGGCGGAGGGAAGACAGUGACGCUGCAUAUUCUUUCCGCCCGGUGACGUCCAACGGCAGGAUGGGAGGGGGGAUGAAUAUUCGGAUACCAAAAUUAAUAUCCGGAUAGUGCCGUAGCGAACGAAUAUUCGGAUAUUCGAGAUAUUCGGGUCCAGCCCUAAUAUAUACAUAUGAUUAUUUAGUUCUCUUUUGUGUCUUUUUUGUCUUUUGGCCCCUUCACACCACAUACCUUGUAACUGUAAGUAGGCAACACUCCAAAGAUUUAUUCAAAUGGUAGUUUAAGUGUACUGAAACAUGUCACUGAUCUAGGAUGAAGAGGAUGAAACUAUGUCUGCUGCCUUUACAGAGGGGGCUCCAGAAAGGCAUACAGAGAGCAUGCCUGGACAGCAGCAGGAUGGUUCCUCAACUUCCACUGCAGUGAGAUGGAUGUUCAGGAAACACCAGAGAUUCAUUCCGUGGAAUUCAUGUGCAACCGUAUAAUUUAAUGUCCUCUAUGUAUUGCCAGUUAUCAGUAAAAUGGAUUUACAAACUGCAUUUGCAGAGAAAAUUUAAAAAAAAAAAACAGAUUAGGAGGACAGAUCUGGAAAUUGAAAUACUGAAGCACAAGUUAGAGGUGGGUGAUGGUCACAGGUGAAUUAUGUUAACUACUAGAACAUGCACUGAACUAUCUCUUUUAUUUGUAGGAAAUAAAGAAGACCAAAUGAAA